rnacentral:rRNA from 1 species
AGUGAACGCUGGCGGUAGGCCUAACACAUGCGAGUUGAACGGCAGCACAGUAAGAGCUUGCUCUUACGGGUGGCGAGUGGCGGACGGGUGAGGAAUACAUCGGAAUCUACUUUUUCGUGGGGGAUAACGUAGGGAAACUUACGCUAAUACCGCAUACGACCUACGGGUGAAAGCAGGGGAUCUUCGGACCUUGCGCGAUUGAAUGAGCCGAUGUCGGAUUAGCUAGUUGGCGGGGUAAAGGCCCACCAAGGCGACGAUCCGUAGCUGGUCUGAGAGGAUGAUCAGCCACACUGGAACUGAGACACGGUCCAGACUCCUACGGGAGGCAGCGGUGGGGAAUAUUGGACAAUGGGCGCAAGCCUGAUCCAGCCAUACCGCGUGGGUGAAGAAGGCCUUCGGGUUGUAAAGCCCUUUUGUUGGGAAAGAAAAGCAGCAGGUUAAUACCCCGCUGUUCUGACGGUACCCAAAGAAUAAGCACCGGCUAACUUCGUG